rnacentral:rRNA from 1 species
UUAAACCCUUUCACCAAAGGUUGACCUCGGAUCAGGUAGGGAUACCCGCUGA